rnacentral:rRNA from 1 species
GGAAUCUUCGGCAAUGGACGAAAGUCUGACCGAGCAACGCCGCGUGAGUGAAGAAGGUUUUCGGAUCGUAAAACUCUGUUGGUAGAGAAGAACGUUGGUGAGAGUGGAAAGCUCAUCAAGUGACGGUAACUACCCAGAAAGGGACGGCUAACUAUGUGCCAG